rnacentral:rRNA from 1 species
UACGGGGGGAGCAAGCGUUGUUCGGAUUUACUGGGCGUAAAGGGCGCGUAGGCGGCCACCGCAAGUCGACUGUGAAAUCUCCGGGCUUAACCCGGAAAGGUCAGCCGAUACUGCGGGGCUAGAGUGCAGAAGGGGCAACUGGAAUUCUCGGUGUAGCGGUGAAAUGCGUAGAGAUCAGGAAGAACACCGGUGGCGAAGGCGCUCUGCUAGGCCGCAACUGACACUGAGGACGAAAGCUAGGGGAGCGAACAGG